rnacentral:rRNA from 1 species
CUUGGUCAUUUAGAGGAAGUAAAAGUCGUAACAAGGUUUCCGUAGGUGAACCUGCGGAAGGAUCAUUACCGAGUUCUCCUGCUCUGUUCUCAUCAGGAACUCCCACCCUUGAUUACAAUAGCGUUGCUUCGGCGAGACGCUGGAAACGGCCAUCAAUAUUGAACAAAAUAUCGAUGCGUGCUCGCCGGAGUUUUAUACUCUACAUUAUAUGUCGUCAGAGAAUCAAAAAUCUAAAAAACCUUCAACAACGGAUCUCUUGGUUUUGGCUUCGAUGAAGAACGCAGCGAAAUGCGAUAAGUAAUGUGAAUUGCAGAAUCAGUGAAUCAUCGAAUUUUUGAACGCAUAUUGCGCUCCUUGGUAUUCCUUGGAGCACACUUGUUCGAGCGCCGGUUGUACAUUAAGGCUCCGCCUUGCGUUGAGAUUUCCUGCAAAGGAAUGCUCCAAACAUCUGGGCGUCUGUCGUGCCUGAACCGCAACACAAUGUGGCUACGGUCUGACCUUCGCCAAAAACCGUCUCAUAAGGCCUCGGAUCAAGUGGGGAUACCCGCUAAACUUAAGCAUAUCAUUCAGCGGAGGAAAAGAAACCAACAGGGAUUGCCUCAGUAACGGCGAGUGAAGCGGCAAGAGCUCAGAUUUGAAAUCGGCCUCCCGGCUGAGUUGUAAUCUGCAGAGGAAUGUUCGGCGGAAGUGUUGGCUAAAGUCUUCUGGAAGGGAGCGCCGUAGAGGGUGAGAGCCCUGUCUAGCCAGCGUCUGAUGCCAUGUGUACCUC